rnacentral:rRNA from 1 species
UACGGAGGGAGCUAGCGUUGUUCGGAAUCACUGGGCGUAAAGCGCACGUAGGCGGCUAUUCAAGUCGGGGGUGAAAGCCCGGGGCUCAACCCCGGAACUGCCCUCGAAACUAGAUAGCUAGAAUCUUGGAGAGGCGAGUGGAAUUCCGAGUGUAGAGGUGAAAUUCGUAGAUAUUCGGAAGAACACCAGUGGCGAAGGCGACUCGCUGGACAAGUAUUGACGCUGAGGUGCGAAAGCGUGGGGAGCAAACAGG